rnacentral:lncRNA from 1 species
AGUAGAGAAAACCGCAGACCAUCUCUUCCUCACCUAUAGAUAUUCUACACAAAUCGGAUACACCUCUUUCAAAAACUACACUUAGCAACACUGGCGCCCCUGCCACCCAUCAUUCAUGAUUUUUGGAGAGAAUGGAGAGACAGACUACCGUAAAAGGCCCUAAAGCUUGGAUGGGACUGCAUUGCUGCUGCUAACAUCU